CCAGUGCACCCCCAGAGCUCCCACCGGCAGCACACAGCACUCAAGCCGACGUCACGUGUCGUAGCAAGAGCGUGACGUAGGACACGGCUACGGUCAGAGGGAGAAGGCCUUGACCUUUCCCCUGCACACCGUACAAAAAAUAGCCGCCAACCGUCGUCUGCUGUGAGCUGCCUUACUGAACAGGAGCGUCCCCAGGCGCUGACAGAAGGGCCGAAAUCGUGACACGCGACACUAAGUGGUCAGCCGCCUGAUCUCCUUCUGACCGUCGAUCUUCACAAGGAAAGCAACAUUAGUCAAGGAAAUUGGUCGCUGAUUCUUCGAAAUGAAAUUGGUUCUGCUACAACGACACUGAUGAUCACUUAUGAUCUAGGUAAUCACACUUGCUAUUUAUAAUCCAGUUAAAAUGAAUGCUUACUCUUAGUAAAAAAUAAAUAUGAAUGUUUACGACAAAAUGUGCGGACAAGAAUACAACUUUAUUUAUCCACAUAGGCAACUCAAAAUAAUGCUCGUACUAGAUGAUCAAAAAUAGUAAGAGUGAAAACUCACAUGCCAACACAUGAUCAGAAAUACAGAGGAUGUGGGAUGCCUUCCUGAGGAUUUGCUGGCGAUCAAAGGCGGCCAAAUAUAAAAGAUAAUUUUUAUGAACGCCAUGAUGUUUAUGGAUUUACUGACAUUCACAAAUACCUUUGGCGACUGUCUUUAACGCAUGUGAUUGUGGAAUGUGUCCCUAAGAUGUCUGGUAAUACGUACAUGGCUACAAAAACACAUAAUACUUAAUUACAUAUGUAUUUACUAGGAACUGUUAAUAUUAUGGGAUUAGAUGCCCGUACGUCGUGAAUACGUCGUCACGUCCUUGUUCGCCGUCGUAUCCACUUGUAUGACUCGUUACGUGUUUGCGGACUGCAGUCGGUUCUUCUCGUCCACGUCCGUGUCACGUAAGGAACGGUUGACUCCUGGGAUACCGGUUAAUAUCCGUAUUGACUUUAAAAAGGAAAGUUUCUUCAAGUAUCUUCACAGCGGGAAACGGAUCGUCGAAAACAGGUAAACAAAAACAGAACAAACUAUCAUAAAAAGGGCUCUGUGGAAGGAGUUCAUAGCCAAGGUAAACAGAGGAAGAAGUGGAUGGCGGACAUGAAGGAUGGUCCUCCAUGAAUGACCUGCAAACACCUCCCACGACCGUCGCUGGUGUCUCUUGCGAGUCAACUGGCAUUCAAGCUUAUCUGGUGAUCAGGUAGCACCAGUCAAGGUGGGUUUUCUAACUUUAGUGAAAGCCUGAGUAAAGAAGAAAAUAGUUCUAUCAAUAUCAACUACACCAUCAACGUUACAAUUCCUGAUGCUACGGACAUGUUUUACGCUCAUUAUACGGUUUGUGAAGGAAACUCUUUGAGUACUGCAUGUAGAUUUGCUCUAUACAAAGACUUUAGCAGAGUGGACUUGAGUAAUAAGAAAGAAGUCACCUGCUCCUGGGAACAACGACUGGCGAGCAGCUCUGUGGUGGCUUUAGACAUCUACAUUACUCAGGUCGUCACCAGGUCACUGAGUGCGAUGAUAGUCUCCACUGGCAGAAGUGGGAUACCCAAACCUACCCGACUGAUACGUGUUGAGGUGUUGUACCCACCAGAAGUAACAAGUCUAACCGUUGGUGGAGAAGACUUUACAAGUCCUUACUUCAUUAACGAGGGCCAGAAGGUCGACAUUUUCUGCUCCUUCGAUAAAGGGAACCCUCCCGCUACUUUCAAGCUUCUUGAUAAACAUGGACACGAGUUGAAAUCUGGUAGUGAUGGAUUUCUUAAUUAUUCACUCUCUGCCCAAUGUGAAGACGACCGACCGACAGUCAGGUGUGAAGGAAGCGGCUCGAAGCAGAACAGAUCCGUCACGUUCUUCGUGAGGUGUCCUCCUCAGUUUGUCGAAAACUCCAUAAAUAUUGUCAAUCUACAAACCUUUCAAGUCCUAACAUUUCAUGUCAAAGCUCACACAACAACACUCACUGCCUGCCUCUUGACACCAGUGACUCUAGACAACAAUGUCACGAGGGGAGUAAGCUGCAUCCUAAGUGGUCACCCUCCUGAUCUGCUUCUGACCGUCCAUCUUCACAAGGAAACCAACAUUAGUGAAGGAAAUUGGUCGCUGAUUCUUCGAAAUGAAAUAGGUUCUGCAACAACGACACUGAUGAUCACUUAUUAUCCAGGUAAGCACACUUGCUAUUUACAAUCCAGUUAAAAUCAAUGCUUACUGUGAGUAAAAAAACAAAUACGAAUGUUUACUACACAAUGUGCGGACAAGAAUACAACUUUAUUUCUCUACAUAAGCAAUUUAAAAAUAGUGCUUGUACUAGAUUAUCAGAAAAAGUAAGAGUGAAAACUCACAGGCCUACACAUGGUCGGAAAUAUAGAGGAUUCGCAAUGCCUUCCUGAAGAUUUGCUGAUGACCAAAGGCUGCCAAGUCCCUCUGCCUGCUUCCGGUGUUGUUGGAACAGAUAUUAAGAAGGGAGACCAGACUGUUCUUGUUCCCUAGGGAGAGGUUGUGGAACCAAGAGAUGAAAGAAAAACUGAUGAGACUUUCAAUGAAGAACUGAUGGACGCGAGUGAGGAUGACAGAGCUGACAGAGAAAGAUCUGAGUUUCCGUAGAAGGCAUAGGCGUUGUUGGCUCUUAUGGAGGAUCAUGUCAGUGUUGAUGUUCCAUUGAAGCUUGUUAUCAAAGAUAUUAUUUAGAUAUUUGUAAGGGUCGACUACCUCGAUGGAAUCAUCAUGGAUAGUAAUGUCAAAGAUAAUUUCGCUAUUUUGCUUAGCCUUUAAGAUAUUUAAGACAAGGAAGUGUUUACCACACACUGUACAAAGUCCACAAGAGCUCCGCUGUGAACAUGUUCACAAAGAUUUAAAAGGGACAGCAAGCCAGAGUCAUCAGCAAAUUUUAACAGAAGGCUCCUAUCUUUAGUGCUUCUACCAAAGCUAUUAUAUAAUAUGAACAUUAGUGGAGACAAGCAGCAUCUUUUGCUCCCUGUGCAACAGAAAACGAAAUCACGAAGUUGUAUAACAAAAUAUUAUAAAAUAUUACACACUGCCACCCUACACACAUGUACUUCCUCUCAGUCUCGCACCGCAACGUUUGUGUCUGUCACAGGAUAUGAGAACUACUCGAGACUGGAUGUAGUUAAUAAUUUCAAUUUAGCGUUAAUACUAAUUACAGUUCCGACUGUCAUUAUUUAAUUAAGAUGGCACAUACCGAUAUUCUUUAAUACCUUAACCUUCUUAACUUUACAUCUACUACGCUCUUAAAUGAAAAGAUACAUAACAUCGA
rnacentral:misc_RNA from 1 species